CAGCCGUUUCCCAGCCUGGGAGGGGCCGGCCAGACCGGGAGACCCGGUUGGGAUGGAGAAGGAUGAAGAUCUCACAUCCUUCUCCAAAUUUAGGGAAGAAAGGCCGCAUUGUGAGUCUCCCAGACCGUACAGACAAUCCAGCCCUCCUCCAAACUCCUUUCCAAACCCUUCUCCACUGGGGAGUGAGUGACCGGACCUGUCCACCUCAGAGGCGACCACUGGCCGGCAAGCAAGACAGAUGUAGCGGAAGAGGCCAACAGAGGGUUUAUAGCCCCUGAAGCGAAAACCCACAUCUCUCUUUUUCCCCCCCUCAUGCCCUCUUCCCUCCUCACACUUCUGACUCCAACCAGAGGGGUCACCCACUGUCCCGUGGUCCCGGCCUCCGGAACAUGGGACCAAUGGCCUGUCGCUCGCUGGAAAUGUUCCCAGCUGGACACCCCCACGCACCCGGGGCUCCGGCCACAGAAUCCUCUUCACGAUUCAAAUUAAAAAAUAAUAUAUGUAUCAUAA